rnacentral:lncRNA from 1 species
GUUCAAUCCCCAGCACCAAAAAAAAAAAAAAAAGGUGGGAGGGCUAGGAUUUCAACUCAGUGGUGUAGAGUGCCCUUGGGUUCGGUCCCCAGUACUGGGGGUUGGGAAGAAAGAAAGAAAAAGGAGAGGUUUAUAUUUCAGCUUAGUUUUGGAGGUUUCAGUCCAUGGUUGGUUGGCUCUGUUGCUUUUAGGCCUGUGGGGAGGCAGUAGAUCAUGGUGGAAAUGCGUGAUGAAGCUGCUUACUUUCUGUGGCUAGGAAGGAAAGACAGGAAGAGGAGGGGCUGGAGUGCCAAUAUUCCCUUCAAGGCCAUGCGCCAAUGAGCUGACCUCCUCCAGGUCCACACCUCCCAAUGGCACCAUAGGCUGGACCAGGCUUUAAACACAUGGACCUUUUGAGAUGUGCAGGAUCCAAACCAUAGCACUCCACAUUUCUAGCUUCUCUUACAAAAGUCAACAGACGUGGCAUUCUUGCACAGCACCAACUGGCCAAAGCCAAGUAGGGACACCCAGUUGGUGGAGUGUGUGUCCCAGUUUUUGGUUUUUGUUUCAGUGCUGGGAAUCAAACCCAGGGCCCUGGACAUGCUAGGCAGGCACUCUGCUACUGAGCUACAUCCCCAGCCCUGUGUGUCCCAGUGUCAUGGUCAUGUACUCCCCAAUAUUUCAUUUGCCAUGGUGCUUGCUCUGUUUUCCUUACAGUUGAAAAUGGUUUCCCUCUGGUCCCGAAGCCACUGAGUGCAGUGGGCUAGUGUUUAAUUGAAACACGUGACAACUAGAGAAGAAGCCCCCCACCCCAACGGCCUCGCGGGCCUGAAGAAUGCCCCAGAAGGAAGGUCUGAUUAGAAGAGACUGGAAUGAGGUAGGGUAGGAAGGAAUCAGCCUUCAAGGGAGGGAGGGAGGUGGGGGAGAGUUCCUAGAUCACAGCUCAUCUCUAAAGGAUGCCAAAGUGUCAGGUCAGUUUCUUCACAGAAAGCAUAAGGCACCAGCCUUGGAAUCCACUCCCAGGAACAGUAAUUCUUUGUGCCUAAGAGCAAAAUCAAGAACGUGUGACAGAAAGGAGCCAGUUGGUUAAUACAUCCCUUCUCUCCACCAACCCCUCAUUCAGAGCAUGCAAGGCAGUUUUCCAGCUGUGCCACCCACACAUAGGGGAUAGGUAAGUGUACCUCACGCCUUCCCCCGGUUGUCAGAGCAGCAAUGAGAUGCAGGGCUGAUGGGCUGAGGAAGAGGUUCUCUGCCAGGGUCCAUUCAGCUGCUCUUCUAGUAUUUUGCCCUGAGAAUUGAAUGUAAUGGGAAGGGUCUCCCUACCUGCUGACAAGUGAGCAAAGGCAGAGAACCUGGAUCCAUCUAAGAUCCUUGUCCUUUUUAUUUUUUUAGUCCUGUGCAGGUCAACUGGCACUAAAAGAAAAGCUGUUUUGUAGCAAUGCAGGUAGCUGGCAACAAAGGCAAGAGGACAGGGCAGUGAGAAUGAGCCUCACCACUCCUGAACAGGACCACCACCCUGGGUGUCCUGAGGGUGAGUAAAAAGCACAUUCUGUUCUCUGCGUGCUUGAGAUGACUCGCCUUUCCCUUCAGCCCCAGAUGCUCUGCUCUUCAGGCCCCAAAGAGGCUUAAAUAUCAGCUCUGACCUUUACCUGCAUAAUACCACAACCCUGGACUUCCUGCCUCCCCCCUCAAAAAAAAAAAAAA